CUUUUGAAAUUAGGGGAUCGAGGAGAAGGGACUGAACGUCGAAUGAAGCUUGGGUUGACGGGGGCGCUAUCAAGGUAG